rnacentral:rRNA from 1 species
GGGCAUGCUAUCUGGUUUUGGUGGAUGCCUUGGGUCUGAAAGUCGAUGAAGGACUCGAUUACAUGCGAUAAGCUUCGUGGAGUUGGAAAUAAACUAUGAUACGGAGAUUUCCGAAUGGGGUAACCUAACUGAGCAAACCUCAGUUGCAUUUUGAUGAAUCCAUAGUCAAAUUAGCGAGACACGUUGCGAAUUGAAACAUCUUAGUAGCAACAGGAAAAGAAAAUAAAUAAUGAUUUCGUCAGUAGUGGCGAGCGAAAGCGAAAGAGCCCAAACCUGUAAAAAGGGGUUGUAGGACAUCUUACAUUGAGUUACAAAAUUUUAUGAUAGUAGAAGAA